CCUACGGGAGGCAGCAGUGAGGAAUAUUGGUCAAUGGGCGGAAGCCUGAACCAGCCAAGUCGCGUGCAGGAUGACGGCCCUACGGGUUGUAAACUGCUUUUAUACGGGAAUAACGCGCCUUACGUGUAGGGCUCUGCAUGUACCGUAUGAAUAAGGACCGGCUAAUUCCGUGCCAGCAGCCGCGGUAAUACGGCAGGUCCGGGCGUUAUCCGGAUUUAUUGGGUUUAAAGGGAGCGUAGGCCGCAUGUCAAGCGUGCUGUGAAAUGUCCGGGCUCAACCCGGGCCUGGCAGCGCAAACUGGCGUUCGUGAGUCAGCGGAAAGCAGGCGGAAUUCGUGGUGUAGCGGUGAAAUGCUUAGAUAUGACGAAGAACCCCGAUUGCGAAGGCAGCUUGCUGCAGCGGAACUGACGCUGAUGCUCGAAAGCGCGGGUAUCGAACAGGAUUAGAUACCCGGGUAGUC
rnacentral:rRNA from 1 species